ACAAAUUCCGACAUUUAAUAUGACACGAUAUUCCCAACUUCAGAAGCACAAGAAUUGGUCCCCAAAAUAUACGAGAAAAGUCAUAAGCUUCCUCUUGUAGACGUCUUCUCUACUAAGCCACCUGAUGAGCAGUAUGUCGCCCCACCCUUGGAAAGAUAAUCUCCCACCUCAUAAGUAAGAUAUCAAACUGAUUUGAUACCAAAACCAUCUUGCACCCUUCUAGUAGGCUUGCCUGAACCUUAGAGUCGAUCACUGAGUUAGAGCAUGAGCGUUUAAACUGCUCUCUUCUGGAGAACCCGAAGAGCCUGCACCGAGUUGAGCUUUGAUAGGAAUUCCUUUCGCUUUCACCACUACCGGCUAACAAAGUAGUGCUAAAUGAACCUUCUUUAACCAUUAAAGAAGAAAGGUAUGGAAUUCUCAUUUGCCACUAUCUCAUUAUUGUCACUAAUCAAUGAGGCUAAACUAAUGAACCCCACAGCAUCUAUUCCCCGGGUCAUGCCUGUCGGGCCAUGAUGCCUUCACAUCUAUAAGCAAACCUGGCGCUCCUGUUCAGCUGCUACAACUCACAUUGCUUAUCCAGUCACAGAUAUUAGAUGAAGACCAUCAUACUCUCAUGGCUUCUCCUUGUCCUGUUAUUCCAGUCUCCCUGGUGCUCAGCCAUCAAAAUGACUCUUCCAGAAGGGAGUGGACCUCAUCAACUGCCACAGCUACCACAAGGCCAACGGCUUCAAGGCCCGAACAAGACCACCGAGUUGAGCGAAGUCAGGAGAGGGGGAGAGCGUGAGGACUCGGGUACUUGGAGGAAGGAGAGCCACAAAGGAGAGGGUGGUGCAGCUGGUGGUGCAGCUGCCGGGAGAAGUCCUGGCACUGCAAAUUCCGAUCGUGGGGCACAACAUGGACAUCACAGUGCUGCACCGCAGAUGCAAGUGCUAUAUACUUCCCACCUAUCCGCCAACCCUAGUAUUUGGUUGAUCCUUGUACUUCUUUUCUUCUAUUAAUUUCUCAGGGUUUACAUCCAUUUAUCAUCGAAAGUGUGGUGUUCCUAAUUGCAUUCUAUGAUGAUGACUGCUGUUAGAUUGCAAUCUAUAUAUAGUGAUGAUCAUCUCAUGUAUCUUUCAUUGUCAGUAAACAACAGAAUGUACUUAAUUUCAUUUUCCUUGUUGA